GGGCGUGUAGCUCAGGGGUAGAGCGCUUGCUUAGCAAUACAGUGUUCACCGCUGCAUGAGGCCCGGCGUUCAAAUCGCCGCUCGUCCA